AAUUCAAGGGUGUGGCGCGAGCUCCUUCGGGAGCGAAGCAAUUGGAAGUGGUUCCAAGAAAAGCCUCUAAGCUUCAGUCUAACGAUGACCGUACCGCAAACCGACACAGGUGGGCGAGAUGAGUAUUCUAAGGCGCUUGAGAGAACUCGGGAGAAGGAACUCGGCAAAUUGGUACCGUAACUUCGGGAUAAGGUACGCCCUUGUAGCUUGACUGGCCUGCGCCAGGAGGGUGAAGGGGUUGCAAUAAACUGGUGGCUGCGACUGUUUAAUAAAAACACAGCACUCUGCAAACACGAAAGUGGACGUAUAGGGUGUGACGCCUGCCCGGUGCCGGAAGAUUAAAUGAUGGGGUGCAAGCUCUUGAUUGAAGUCCCGGUAAACGGCGGCCGUAACUAUAACGGUCCUAAGGUAGCGAAAUUCCUUGUCGGGUAAGUUCCGACCUGCACGAAUGGCGUAACGAUGGCCACACUGUCUCCUCCCGAGACUCAGCGAAGUUGAAGUGUUUGUGAUGAUGCAAUCUACCCGCGGCUAGACGGAAAGACCCCAUGAACCUUUACUGUAGCUUUGCAUUGGACUUUGAACCGAUCUGUGUAGGAUAGGUGGGAGGCUAUGAAACCGGAACGCUAGUUUCGGUGGAGCCGUCCUUGAAAUACCACCCUGGUUUGUUUGAGGUUCUAACCUUGGCCCGUGAUCCGGGUCGGGGACAGUGCAUGGUAGGCAGUUUGACUGGGGCGGUCUCCUCCCAAAGCGUAACGGAGGAGUACGAAGGUACGCUAGGUACGGUCGGAAAUCGUGCUGAUAGUGCAAUGGCAUAAGCGUGCUUAACUGCGAGACCGACAAGUCGAGCAGGUGCGAAAGCAGGUCAUAGUGAUCCGGUGGUUCUGUAUGGAAGGGCCAUCGCUCAACGGAUAAAAGGUACUCUGGGGAUAACAGGCUGAUACCGCCCAAGAGUUCAUAUCGACGGCGGUGUUUGGCACCUCGAUGUCGGCUCAUCUCAUCCUGGGGCUGUAGCCGGUCCCAAGGGUAUGGCUGUUCGCCAUUUAAAGAGGUACGUGAGCUGGGUUUAAAACGUCGUGAGACAGUUUGGUCCCUAUCUGCCGUGGGCGUUGGAUAUUUGAAGGGGGCUGCUCCUAGUACGAGAGGACCGGAGUGGACGAACCUCUGGUGUACCGGUUGUCACGCCAGUGGCAUCGCCGGGUAGCUAUGUUCGGAAGAGAUAACCGCUGAAAGCAUCUAAGCGGGAAACUCGCCUUAAGAUGAGAUAUCCCUGGGGACUAGAUCCCCUUGAAGGGUCGUUCGAGACCAGGACGUUGAUAGGUCAGGUGUGUAAGCGCAGUAAUGCGUUCAGCUAACUGAUACUAAUUGCCCGUAAGGCUUGAUC
rnacentral:rRNA from 1 species